rnacentral:rRNA from 1 species
CCAAUAGCGUAUAUUAAAGUUGUUGCAGUUAAAAAGCUCGUAGUUGAAUUUCGGGGUCAGCAGGUCGGUCGUGCCACUGGUAUGUACUGGCUUUGCUGAUUCCUCCCUCUUGACGAACCGUAAUGCCAUUAAUUUGGUGUUGCGGGAAAUCAGGACUGUUACUUUGAAAAAAUUAGAGUGUUUAAAGCAGGCUUACGCUUGAAUACAUUAGCAUGGAAUAAUGAAAUAGGACGUUCGAUCCUAUUUUGUUGGUUUCUAGGAUUGACGUAAUGAUUAAUAGGGAUAGUUGGGGGCAUUAGUAUUCAAUUGUCAGAGGUGAAAUUCCUGGAUUUAUUGAAGACUAACUACUGCGAAAGCAUUUGCCAAGGAUGUUUUCAUUAAUCAAGAACGAAAGUUAGGGGAUCGAAGACGAUCAGAUACCGUCGUAGUCUUAACCAUAAACUAUGCCGACUAGGGAUCGGAUGAUGUUAAUUUUUUAAUGACUCAUUCGGCGCCUUACG